ensembl:snoRNA small nucleolar RNA SNORA44
GCGCAUGUUUUCCAAGGAUCGGGGCCCCGUGCGUGGCCUUCGGUUCUCCAACUGCAUGCCAGAGAAACGGGCAGACUUUGACUGGGUGGGCUGCACGUGCCCUUUGCAGUCACUCUACUGUCCUACAUGU